AGCAGCAAGCACAAUUUAUCGUUCUUCUGUAUUGCUGAGGAACAGAAAAACUUAGCAACCAGACAAAAUUGCACAAGAUUCUGGUUUAUGGGGAAGCAGUGAAGUGCAAAGUUGAUGAGCAGUGAAGUGUAACUCAGGAAACUUCUACCUUGUGGAAAAUAUUAAUACACCCCAGGCAUCACUGAAUGAGACCAAGACACUCUCAAAGGGUUUUAACCAUUGAAAUGUCAAAAUUGAAGAUAUCAACAGCAUUUUGUUUUAAAGAAGAAAUGUGUUCAAGAAAACUGAAAAAUGCAAAGCUGAGGAAGCCCUCAGUGACCUGUAUAAAACAGAACUGACAUAUCUACAGUGAUGAUAAAGAAACUCAAAAAGGCAUUAAGUGAAGAGGUGGCUGAACGGAGAACUGAUUGCUAUCUGAUCUCAAGUUAGCCUCUAGAUUCUUCAGUUGGUCCUGUUUCAUACCCUGUGAAACACUGGAAUGAGUAUUCUUUUUAACUAAAGAAGUAAGAAAUGACUGGUUCAGGGACUUACCUGGCAGUCUAGUGGUUAAGACUGUGCUUCCACUGCAGGGGGCGCUGGUUCAAUCCCUGGUCAGGGAACUAAGAUCCCAAAUGCUGAGAUAUGGCCAAUUAAAAAAAAAAAAAAAAGGAAAGCAAAGACUGGUUGAAAUGAAUGAUAAGAUUCAGGCAGUAAUAAUGCAUGUUGUUCAACUGAAAUAUGACUUAAAAUGAUUGUAAAUACAAUGAAAGUGUGUUGACUUUUAUAUUGUAUUUUAUUUCACAUAAUUUUCCCCAUGUUGUGUUCAUCUCUGUAACUUGUAUGAGAAAGAAAGUAAGAAAUAUAAUGCUAUUCUCACUUUUUAUGAGAAACCUGAGGCAUAGAAAGUGUAUGACACUUGUUUUUGGUUAUUGAAAGGUUAGGGGUGGAAGGGGGAAUUUGACCUCCUGAUUCAAUACUGGUUGCUCCUUUGAUUAAACAUGAAUAUGCAGAAGAUUAAGAAAAAAACAGAUUUUGCUAUCAAGAAAGGAUCUCCAAGGUCGUUAGUGUGUAGCUGAGAGGGAUCUGCCCGAGGGGAUAGAAGACCUUCCUGGGAUAGACGAGUGAGUUCAGAGAACCCAGUGAGAAUGGAUAACUCUUGCUCACUCAUACCCACAGAUAUAUAAGCUUUAUAGCAAAACCUUUUAUUGCUGAAACUGUUGGUUCAUUUUAAGACUUUAGAUUAUAUUCAAGGCAAGGAGGCACAGAAGACAGAGUCAGCCCCUGGGUUGAAAUAGCCCUGAGUGACCAGCUGUCAUGGCCUGUACCAGGAGCCCCACUGCCAUAAUUUGCUAAAUAAGCAUCUACAUGUGAUGUGACCUUUUUAGCUAUUUGU
rnacentral:lncRNA from 1 species